UCGGGAAUUUUGGGCAAUGGGCGAAAGCCUGACCCAGCAACGCCGCGUGAAGGAUGAAGUAUUUCGGUAUGUAAACUUCGAAAGAAUAGGAAGAAUCAAUGACGGUACUAUUUAUAAGGUCCGGCUAACUACGUGCCAGCAGCCGCGGUAAUACGUAGGGACCAAGCGUUGUUCGGAUUUACUGGGCGUAAAGGGCGCGUAGGCGGCGCGGUAAGUCACUUGUGAAAUCUCUGAGCUUAACUCAGAACGGCCAAGUGAUACUGCAGUGCUAGAGUGCGGAAGGGGCAAUCGGAAUUCUUGGUGUAGCGGUGAAAUGCGUAGAUAUCAAGAGGAACACCUGAGGUGAAGACGGGUUGCUGGGCCGACACUGACGCUGAGGCGCGAAAGCCAGGGGAGCAAACGGGAUUAGAUACCCAAGUAGUCCCUGAGCGGGCUGGCAAGGCGCAU
rnacentral:rRNA from 1 species